rnacentral:rRNA from 1 species
UACGGGGGGGUGCGAGCGUUGCUCGGAAUCACUGGGCGUAAAGGGCGCGUAGGCGGCCGGCCAAGUCGGGGGUGAAAGCCUGUGGCUCAACCACAGAAUGGCCCUCGAUACUGGACGGCUCGAGACCGGAAGAGGUUGGUGGAAUUGCGAGUGUAGAGGUGAAAUUCGUAGAUAUUCGCAAGAACACCGGUGGCGAAGGCGGCCAACUGGUCCGGAUCUGACGCUGAGGCGCGAAAGCGUGGGGAGCAAACAGG